rnacentral:misc_RNA from 1 species
GAUGAAGAACGCAGCGAAAUGCGAUAAGUAAUGUGAAUUGCAGAAUUCAGUGAAUCAUCGAAUCUUUGAACGCACAUUGCGCCCGCCAGUAUUCUGGCGGGCAUGCCUGUCUGAGCGUCAUUUCAACCCUCAUGCCCCUAGGGCGUGGUGUUGGGGAUUGGCCAAAGCCCGCGAGGGACGGCCGGCCCCUAAAUCUAGUGGCGGACCCGUCGUGGCCUCCUCUGCGAAGUAGUGAUAUUCCGCAUCGGAGAGCGACGAGCCCCUGCCGUUAAACCCCCAACUUUCCAAGGUUGACCUCAGAUCAGGUAGGAAUACCCGCUGAACUUAAGCAUAUCAAUAAGCGGAGGA